rnacentral:rRNA from 1 species
UAAUUUGAAGAAGGCGACUUUGUAGCUGGUCCUNGUCUAUGUUCCUUGGAACAGGACGUCAUAGAGGGUGAGAAUCCCGUGUGGCGAGGAUCCCAGUUAUUUGUAAAGUGCUUUCGACGAGUCGAGUUGUUUGGGAAUGCAGCUCUAAGUGGGUGGUAAAUUCCAUCUAAAGCUAAAUAUUGGCGAGAGACCGAUAGCGAACAAGUACAGUGAUGGAAAGAUGAAAAGAACUUUGAAAAGAGAGUGAAAAAGUACGUGAAAUUGUUGAAAGGGAAGGGCAUUUGAUCAGACAUGGCGUUUGCUUCGGCUUUCGCUGGGCCAGCAUCAGUUUUAGCGGUUGGAUAAAUCCUCGGGAAUGUGGCUCUGCUUCGGUAGAGUGUUAUAGCCCGUGGGAAUACAGCCAGCUGGGACUGAGGAUUGCGAC